ACAGUUUGAGGAUAGAAACCAGGUCUAAACACAAUAGCUUAUAGACAUACUCUGAAUGUAGUUCUAUAUAAAUCUUUAAUAAUACCAGUCAAUAAAAUGAAAC